RCRARGAAGUUUACARCCCAUAGGGCCGUSAUCCUUCACGSGGCAUGGSUGGUUCAGACUUGCGUCCAUUGRCCAAUAUUCCUUACUGSUGCCUCCCGUAGGAGUCUGGUCCGUGKCUCAGUACCAGUGUGGGGGUGAAUCCUCUCAGAACCCCUAGACAUCGUCGCCUUGGUGCGCCGUUACCUCACCAACUAGCUAAUGUCGCGCAUGCUCAUCCAAAACCGCCGGAGCUUUAAUUAUAAUGAGAUGUCUCAUCAUAAUGKUAUGGGGUAUUAAUCCCGAUUUCUCGGGGCUAUCCCCCAGUUAAGGGUAGAUUGCAUACGUGUUACGCACCCGUGCGCCACUCGUCAGCAUCCAUUGCUGGACCUGUUACCGUUCGACUUGCAUGUAUUAGGCCUGCCGCUAGCGUUAAUCCUGAGCCAGGAUCAAACUCUAAUCGAAUUCCCGCGGCCGCCAUGGCGGCCGGGAGCAUGCGACGUCGGGCCCAAUUCGCCCUAUAGUGAGUCGUAUUACAAUUCACUGSCCCGUCGGKUUACAACG
rnacentral:rRNA from 1 species